rnacentral:rRNA from 1 species
CGGCGUGCCUAACACAUGCAAGUCGAACGAAGCACUUCAGUUUGAGAUCGUCAGAACUGGAUUUGACUUAGUGGCGGACGGGUGAGUAAUGUAUGAGCAACCUGCCUUUCAGAGGGGGACAACAGUUGGAAACGACUGCUAAUACCGCAUAAUGUAUUUGGGUGGCAUCACCUGGAUACCAAAGGAGCAAUCCGCUGAAAGAUGGGCUCAUAUCUGAUUAGUUAGUUGGCGAGGUAACGGCUCACCAAGACUGCGAUCAGUAGCCGGACUGAGAGGUUGAACGGCCACAUUGGGACUGAGAUACGGCCCAGACUCCUACGGGAGGCAGCAGUGGGGAAUAUUGGGCAAUGGGCGAAAGCCCUGACCCAGCAACGCCGCGUGAAGGAAGAAGGUCUUCGGAUUGUAAACUUCUUUUAUGAGGGACGAAGGACGUGACGGUACCUCAUGAAUAAGCCACGGCUAACUACGUGCCAGCCGCGGC